AUUGAACGCUGGCGGCAGGCUUAACACAUGCAAGUCGAGCGGAGAUGAGGUGCUUGCACCUUAUCUUAGCGGCGGACGGGUGAGUAAUGCUUAGGAAUCUGCCUAUUAGUGGGGGACAACAUUCCGAAAGGAAUGCUAAUACCGCAUACGUCCUACGAGAGAAAGCAGGGGACCUUCGGGCCUUGCGCUAAUAGAUGAGCCUAAGUCGGAUUAGCUAGUUGGUGGGGUAAAGGCCUACCAAGGCGACGAUCCGUAGCGGGUCUGAGAGGAUGAUCCGCCACACUGGGACUGAGACACGGCCCAGACUCCUACGGGAGGCAGCAGUGGGGAAUAUUGGACAAUGGGCGGAAGCCUGAUCCAGCCAUGCCGCGUGUGUGAAGAAGGCCUUUUGGUUGUAAAGCACUUUAAGCGAGGAGGAGGCUACUUAGAUUAAUACUCUAGGAUAGUGGACGUUACUCGCAGAAUAAGCACCGGCUAACUCUGUGCCAGCCGCCGCGGUAACAC
rnacentral:rRNA from 1 species